rnacentral:rRNA from 1 species
CCUACGGGAUGCACCAGUGGGGAAUAUUGGACAAUGGGCGAAAGCCUGAUCCAGCAAUGCCGCGUGUGUGAAGAAGGUCUUCGGAUUGUAAAGCACUUUCGACGGGGACGAUGAUGACGGUACCCGUAGAAGAAGCCCCGACUAACUUCGUGCCAGCAGCCGCGGUAAUACGAAGGGGGCUAGCGUUGCUCGGAAUGACUGGGCGUAAAGGGCGCGUAGGCGGUUUAUGCAGUCAGAUGUGAAACCCCCGGGCUUAACCUGGGAACUGCAUUUGAGACGCAUAGACUAGAGUUCGAGAGAGGUGAGUGGAAUUCCGAGUGUAGAGGUGAAAUUCGUAGAUAUCGGGAGGAACAUCCGUGGCGAAGGCGGCACCCUGGACCAGCACUGACACUGAGGCACGAAAGCGUGGGGAGCAAACAGGAUUAGAUACCCCCGUAGUC